rnacentral:rRNA from 1 species
AGUGAACGCUGGCGGUAGGCCUAACACAUGCAAGUCGAACGGCAGCACAGUAAGAGCUUGCUCUUACGGGUGGCGAGUGGCGGACGGGUGAGGAAUACAUCGGAAUCUACUUUUUCGUGGGGGAUAACGUAGGGAAACUUACGCUAAUACCGCAUACGACCUACGGGUGAAAGCAGGGGAUCUUCGGACCUUGCGCGAUUGAAUGAGCCGAUGUCGGAUUAGCUAGUUGGCGGGGUAAAGGCCCACCCAGGCGACGAUCCGUAGCUGGUCUGAGAGGAUGAACAGCCACACUGGAACUGAGGCACGGUCCAGACUCCUACGGGAGGCAGCAGUGGGGAAUAUUGGGCCAUGGGCGCGAGCCUGAUCCAGCCAUACCGCGUGGGUGAAGAAGGCCUUCGGGUUGUAAAGCCCUUUUGUUGGGAAAGAAAAGCAGCAGGUUAAUACCCCGCUGUUCUGACGGUACCCAAAGAAUAAGCACCGGCUAACUUCGUG